AUAUGGUCAAGUAAGAAAGGGCAUACGGGGGAUGCCAUUGGCAUCAGGAGGCGAGGAAGGACGUGGUUUGCUGCGAUAAGCGACGGGGAGUUGUAAACAAGCCUUGAUCCGUCGAUUUCCGAAUGGGAGAACCCAUUAAGCUAUGAUUUAUCAUAGCGGCGAUACCUGGGGAAUUGAAACAUCUAAGUACCCGGAGGAAGAGAAAGAAACAUCGAUUUCGUAAGUAGCGGUGAGCGAAAGCGAAGGAGCCUAAACCUUUGUCUAUGUUAAAGGACUGGACCGUUGUAGCGAAGGUGUUGUAGGACUUACGUGCACAGGCUAGUGAGUGCGAUAGAGUUAAAAAGUUUGCGGAUAUCAGAAUGGUAUUGGGAAAGCCAACCAUAGAGGGUGAGAGUCCCGUAAGUUAAAUCCGUGAAUCUCUAGUGAGUAUCCUGAGUACCAUGAAACACGUGUAAUUUUGUGGGAAUCUGGGGGGACCACCCCCCAAGGCUAAAUACUACCUGAUGACCGAUAGAGGACAAGUACCGUGAGGGAAAGGUGAAAAGUACCGGGGGACCGGGGUGAAAUAGAAUCUGAAACCGUAUGCUUACAAGGUAUCAAAGCACUUUAUAUGUGUGAUGGUGUGCCUUUUGUAGAAUGAGCCGGCGAGUUACUUUAUGUUGCGAGCUUAAGACAGUGAGAUGUCGAAGGCGAAGCGAAAGCGAGUCUUAAUAGGGCGGAUAUAGUAGCAUGGAGUAGACCCGAAGCCAGAUGAGCUAUCUAUGAGCAGGUUGAAGGUGGGGUAAAACCCAUUGGAGGACCGAACCAUUUGACGUUGAAAAGUCUUUGGAUGACUUGUGGAUAGGGGUGAAAGGCCAAACAAAUCUGGCGAUAGCUGGUUCUCCUCGAAAUAGCUUUAGGGCUAGCGUCAUUUGUUUAGUUACAGGGGUAGAGCUACUGAUAGGGCUAGGGGGCCUACAAGCUUACCAAACCCUUUCAAACUCCGAAUACUGUAACUUGAAGAAUGGCAGUCAGACUACGGGGGAUAAGCUUCGUGGUCAAAAGGGAAACAGCCCAGACCGUCGUCUAAGGCCCCUAAAUUCACGCUAAGUGGCAAAGGAUGUGGGGAUACUUAAACAGCCAGGAGGUUGGCUUAGAAGCAGCCAUCCUUUAAAGAGUGCGUAAUAGCUCACUGGUCGAGUGUUCUUGCGCCGAAAAUGUAAUCGGGACUAAGCGUGAUGCCGAAGACACGGAUUGUAACUGACAGAUAUGUCUGUCGGUUGCAGUGGUAGAGGAGCGUUCUUUCAUCCAGUGAAGGCAGACUGAGAAGACUGCUGGAGGAGUAAGAAGUGAAGAUGCCGGCAUGAGUAGCGAAAAAAGGGGUGAGAUUCCCCUUCACCGAAAGCCUAAGGUUUCCCCGGGAAGGCAAGUCCGCCGGGGGUUAGUCGGACCCUAAGAUAAGGCUGAAGAGCGUAGUCGAUGGGAAGCAGGUUUAUAUUCCUGCACCGUGUUAAUUGUGCGAUGGAGUGACGCAGGAGGAUAGUUGGAGCGGAGCAAUGGUAAAUCCGUUUUUGGUUGUAGGCUUUGAGGGUCAUAGGUAAAUCCGUGACUUGAGCUGAGGACUGAAGGGAUUCCACUGUGAGGUGGAAGUAGCCGAUGAUUCCAUGCUGCCAAGAAAUAGCUUCUAAGUUUAGGUUGACACGACCGUACCGCAAACCGACACAGGUAGGCGAGAUGAGAAUUCUAAGGUGCUCGAGAUAACUCUCGUUAAGGAACUCGGCAAAAUAUUCCUGUAACUUCGGGAGAAAGGAACCCUGUUGUUGUGAAUCGAACAGAGUAAGCGACGGCGGGGUGCAAAUAAAUGGGGGUAGCGACUGUUUACCAAAAACAUAGGUCUCUGCAAAAUCGUAAGAUGAAGUAUAGGGACUGACACCUGCCCGGUGCCGGAAGGUUAAGAGGACUUGUUAGUCGCGAGGCGAAGCUCGGAAUCGAAGCCCCGGUAAACGGCGGCCGUAACUAUGACGGUCCUAAGGUAGCGAAAUUCCUUGUCGGGUAAGUUCCGACCUGCACGAAUGGUGUAACGACUUCCCUACUGUCUCAACGAGAGUCUCGGCGAAAUUGUAGUGCCCGUGAAGAUGCGGGCUACCUGCGAAAGGACGGAAAGACCCCGUGAACCUUUACUGUAACCUGGCAUUGAACUUUGGUUCCUUAUGUGUAGGAUAGGUGGGAGACUGUGAAAUGUGGACGCUAGUCUGUGUGGAGUCGUCGUUGAAAUACCACUCUUGAUGAACUCGAGUUCUAACGGUAAUAACAAGUUAUCGGACAUUGUCAGGCGGGCGGUUUGACUGGGGCGGUCGCCUCCAAAAGAGUAACGGAGGCGCCCAAAGGUUCCCUCAGCACGGUCGGAAAUCGUGCAUAGAGUGUAAAGGCAUAAGGGAGCUUAACUGCGAGACCAACAAGUCGAGCAGAUGCGUAAGCAGGGCUUAGUGAUCCGGUGGUUCUGUGUGGAAGGGCCAUCGCUCAACGGAUAAAAGGUACUCCGGGGAUAACAGGCUGAUCGCAUCCAAGAGUCCAUAUCGACGAUGCGGUUUGGCACCUCGAUGUCGGCUCGUCGCAUCCUGGGGCUGAAGCAGGUCCCAAGGGUAUGGCUGUUCGCCAUUUAAAGCGGUACGCGAGCUGGGUUCAGAACGUCGUGAGACAGUUCGGUCCCUAUCCUUCGCAGGCGUUGGAGAUUUGAUAGAACCUGUCCCUAGUACGAGAGGACCGGGAUGGACGAACCUCUAGUGUAUCAGUUGUCACGCCAGUGGCAUUGCUGAGUAGCUAUGUUCGGACGGGAUAACCGCUGAAAGCAUAUAAGUGGGAAGCCUCUCUAAAGAUAAGAUCUCCCUCCGCAAGGCUAAAGGCCCCGGGAAGAUUACCCGGUUGAUAGGCUACAGAUGUAAGCAUUGUAAGAUGUUCAGUCGAGUAGUACUAAUAGGCCGUGAGACUUGACCAUAUUAC
rnacentral:rRNA from 1 species